rnacentral:lncRNA from 1 species
ACAUUUAAUUAGUUGUUAAACAGAAAAAAAAAAAUAGGUUCACGUGAUUCUACGCGUCGAGACAAGCAAUUUACACAUAGAGAACAUCUCCAACGGAGCUACGGUUCAAAAGAUACAAGCACCACAAGAUAUGAUGGCAUGAAUGCAAUAUGUGUACAACGACGGUCACGAGCACUUCAAAACAUACAACCAGCAAGAGAAAAUGAAAUUACACGAGAUUCUAAGAAAGUUUCAUAUAG